rnacentral:misc_RNA from 1 species
UACGGAGGGUGCAAGCGUUGUCCGGAAUCAUUGGGUGUAAAGGGUGCGUAGGCGGAAGCCUAAGUCGGGGGUGAAAUCUUGCCGCUUAACGGUAAAAUUGCCUUCGAUACUGGGUUUCUUGAGUAUGGCAGAGGAGUGUGGAAUUUCCGGUGUAGCGGUGAAAUUCGUAGAUAUGUGGAGGAACACCAGUGGCGAAGGCGACUUUCUGGCCUACAACUGACGCUGAGGCGCGAAAGCGUGGGGAGCAAACAGG